rnacentral:lncRNA from 1 species
AAUAUUAUUAAUUCUAAAUCAAUAUAUAUAUAUAUAUAUAUAUAUUUUUUUUUAUUACAGCCCAAAAGGCGUCAUUAAAUAAAAGCAGGCCCAGCCCCUUUUAUCAAAUCCUUUCGCAGCCCAACAGAACCAAGCCCAUACCGGGCCCAAACACCUUAGGCCCAAAUCAAAUUUUGAGCAGCUAGGUUUGAAGAAGAAUUUGCAGCAGCAGCCGCUUCUCCUUCCCGUCGCCACGCCUUUCCCAUCAGCCAACCGCCGCCGCCCUCGGAGCAACGACGCCACCAGACGUCGUGCGGAGGUCUCCACGCCGGUCGCAGCUCGAAGUCGCGUCGGAGGAGUGGCUGUGACGUCCGGCUAAGGCACGCCUUCGCCGGUCAUCUCCAACUCCUUCCGUCGAACAGGCGUCCAAGAGCAGUGGCAAAGGUCUCCUCGCCGCCGCCCACAUCGACGUCGUCGCCGCCCCUCUAAGGGUCCGACUGUGCUAGUUCUUUCAGCAGCAGUCACCUCCCGCGCCGGUGUCCAAAAAACGCGCCGGAGGGACUGUUACAGAGAGGCAGCGGGCGUGGGCUAGGAGUCGCGAACGACGUAAACGGCGACAGGUGGUCGGGCACAGCACAACGGCGAGCCCCGAGCCACCCGUCGUCUGCCUCGUGCAGCGAAGUUUCCAGCCCUCAACCCUUGUUUUGCCGCCGCCUAGCGGCUUAAACAAUUUUCCGGCGAAAGGUUCGAAUAUUGCCCAGCAAUAUUCACCCAAUUCCAAAUUGUUGAUUUUCAAUUUCCAAUUUCGAAACAGAUCGUCAAAAUUUCAAUUCCAAAUUAAAUUCAAUUUUCCGAAAACAGAUUUCAAAAAUCAAAUAUUAAUUAACCCAUAAUUAAUUAGAACAUAAUAUCAAUUAUAAAUCGAGCCCCGGGCUCUGAUACCACUGUUGGAAAUCCUUGACAUCAUCUAAUGAUACGCAGCGGAAAUAACAGUCAAGGAUAAGAUCUAGAUUUACAAUUGAUUUAUGUGUAGAGAUUACAAACACACAACGAUAGUUAGAAUAACUUACUUGUUGUGUAGCAAACAAUCCUGUAGCAAUUCUUCUAGCAAUCCUGCAGUUGAAUCCACUACUAUGGUAUCCACGUAUAUU